rnacentral:rRNA from 1 species
UAGGGAAGUCUUCCACAAUGGACGAAAGUCUGAUGGAGCAACGCCGCGUGAGUGAAGAAGGUCUUCGGAUCGUAAAGCUCUGUUGUUGGUGAAGAAGGAUAGAGGCAGUAACUGGUCUUUAUUUGACGGUAAUCAACCAGAAAGUCACGGCUAACUACGUGCCAG